AUUGAACGCUGGCGGCAGGCCUAACACAUGCAAGUCGAGCGAGCGGGGGACGGGUGAGUAAUGUAUGGGGACUGACCGAUGGAGGGGGAUAAUUACCGGAAACGGAUGCUAAUACCGCAUACUAUCGGAUAACCCAUAUGGGAUUAGGGAGUAGGAGGGGUAAAGGCUCACCUAGUCGACGAUCUCUAGCUGGUCUGAGAGGAUGAUCAGCCACACUGGGACUGAGACACGGCCCAGACUCCUACGGAGGCAGCAGUGGGGAAUAUUGCACAAUGGGCGCAAGCCUGAUGCAGCCAUGCCGCGUGUAUGAAGAAGGCCUUAGGGUUGUAAAGUACUUUCAGUGGGGAGGCGUUACCCGCAGAAGAAGCACCGGCUAACUCCGUGCCAGCCGCCGCGGUAAUUC
rnacentral:rRNA from 1 species